rnacentral:rRNA from 1 species
UACGAAGGGGGCUAGCGUUGCUCGGAAUCACUGGGCGUAAAGGGUGCGUAGGCGGGUCUUUAAGUCAGGGGUGAAAUCCUGGAGCUCAACUCCAGAACUGCCUUUGAUACUGAAGAUCUUGAGUUCGGGAGAGGUGAGUGGAACUGCGAGUGUAGAGGUGAAAUUCGUAGAUAUUCGCAAGAACACCAGUGGCGAAGGCGGCUCACUGGCCCGAUACUGACGCUGAGACGCGAAAGCGUGGGGAGCGAACAGG